rnacentral:rRNA from 1 species
GAUGAACGCUGGCGGCGUGCCUAAUACAUGCAAGUAGAACGCUGAAGCUUGGUGCUUGCACCGAGCGGAUGAGUUGCGAACGGGUGAGUAACGCGUAGGUAACCUGCCUGGUAGCGGGGGAUAACUAUUGGAAACGAUAGCUAAUACCGCAUAAGAGUAGAUAUCGCAUGAUAGCUGCUUGAAAGGUGCAAUUGCACCACUACCAGAUGGACCUGCGUUGUAUUAGCUAGUUGGUGAGGUAACGGCUCACCAAGGCAACGAUACAUAGCCGACCUGAGAGGGUGAUCGGCCACACUGGGACUGAGACACGGCCCAGACUCCUACGGGAGGCAGCAGUAGGGAAUCUUCGGCAAUGGACGGAAGUCUGACCGAGCAACGCCGCGUGAGUGAUAGAAGGUUUUCGGAUCGUAAAUGCUCUGUUGUAAGAUGAAGAACGAGUGUGAGAUGUGGAAAUGUUCACA